AUGCCCAAUCACCCCAAUUUCCAUGUUACCGCAUUCGCCGGGGUUCUAGAGAACGCCGAGUUUGAGUUCAGUAGCUUGUACUUGCACCACUUUGUCUAUGGACCAAGCCCAACCCAAUCAAGCAUCAUAAGUGCAAAUUCUACCACUGGGUGGGGCUCCACAGAAGUUAACAAUUGGCCAAUAUAUGAUGGGGUUGGCACCGAUGCCAAGCUAGUAGCCCGGGCACAAGGGCUGCAUAUCUACGCUGGUAAUUGGCACAAUAUGUUAACCAUUGUGUUCGAGAUUGAAAGGUUUAAGCAAAGCACGCUGCAAAUAAUGGGAACAUCUGUUGAGCAAGAAGGUCAGUGGUCUAUUGUCGGCGGGACAGGUGACCUUGCAAUGGCACGUGGCAUUAUAAACAAAAAACUGCAUCAUAGAACAAAUGAGGGGGACAUAAUCGAGCUUACCAUACAUGGAUUCGGCCGCAUGCAGAUAUCGUUUUGGAGCAUGUCUUCACUGCUAAAGAUGGUCUUGUCUCAAUGCUCUCAUGUCGUUGCUGACCUUGUGCACAUGCUUUCUCUGCCAUGGUUGGUGCCCCUUAGAAUGGGAGCAUAUGAGCUACGGGAGGACCUCGCAUUUUCCCUGCAGGAAUACCCUUGGCUCCACCAAACAUAA
rnacentral:rRNA from 1 species